AUGAUAUUUUGCGUGACGCAGUAUCCUAGUCAGCGCAUACGAUUCCCAGGACGGGCCUAAAAAUCCGUUGAAGGGCAUAUCGAUGAAGUCUCUGGUGCUUGCUUCUUACGCCCAGUUUGGGGUGAGUGCUGGGGGUUAAGGCUUUAGGGCGCUUCUCAAUGGCAUGAGAUACCGACCCUAUUGCCGUGGAGACCUGUUGCUGUGGUGCACCUAUAGCAUCCGCAUGGAUUGAUGGAGGCACUACGGGACAGGAUGAAACCUGCGAUGCGGUAUGGCGACAGCGGCUUUGCUUAAAUGAGCGCGCCGUGCAUCAAAAUGCUGUGGGCAGCGUAGCCUGCCUUGAGUGGUUAUGGUGGAUAGGAUAUCCACUCCGCUUCCGCGGCCACGGAACCGGAGCAUUGAUUCUUGAAACCAUGGCUGCAAAAGAGGCUAAGAAUCGUGUUGCCUGUCGUGGAAAACACCUAGGCUGUCUUUAUGGGCAGGCAGGGGAUUGCAGUGCGGACUCAGUGGCAAUUCGGUCCCGGAUAUGGUAACAUACCGGCGGGGCCUAUAAUGGGAAACCACCAUGACGGCGACGUAUGGCAGACCCUGGGGAAAACCAACCGAACCUAAGCCGCAAGAUUUACUCUGUCUGCUGUCACAUUUUCUAUAAU
rnacentral:sRNA from 1 species